GAUGAACGCUGGCGGCGUGCCUAAUACAUGCAAGUCGAGCGAACAGACGAGGAGCUUGCUCCUCUGACGUUAGCGGCGGACGGGUGCGUAACACAUGGAUAACCUACCUAUAAGACUGGGAUAACUUCGGGAAACCGGAUCUAAUACCGGAUAAUAUAUUGAACCGCAUGGUUCAAUAGUUAAAUACGCUUUUGCUGUCACUUAUAGAUUGAUCCGCGCCGCAUUAGCUAGUUGGUAAGGUAACGGCUUACCAAGGCAAUGAUGCGUAGCCGACCUGAGAGGGUGAUCGGCCACACUGGAACUGAGACACGGUCCAGACUCCUACGGGAGGCAGCAGUAGGGAAUCUUCCGCAAUGGGCGAAAGCCUGACGGAGCAACGCCGCGUGAGUGAUGAAGGUCUUCGGAUCGUAAAACUCUGUUAUUAGGGAAGAACAAAUGUGUAAGUAACUAUGCACGUCUUGACGGUACCUAAUCAGAAAGCCACGGCUAACUACGUG
rnacentral:rRNA from 1 species